AACGAACGCUGGCGGCAGGCCUAACACAUGCAAGUCGGACGAACCCUUCGGGGUUAGUGGCGGACGGGUGAGUAACGCGUGGGAAUAUACCCUUUGGUACGGAAUAGCCUCGGGAAACUGAGAGUAAUACCGUAUGUGCCCUUCGGGGGAAGAUUUAUCGCCAAAGGAUUAGCCCGCGUUGGAUUAGGUAGUUGGUGGGGUAAUGGCCUACCAAGCCGACGAUCCAUAGCUGGUUUGAGAGGAUGAUCAGCCACACUGGGACUGAGACACGGCCCAGACUCCUACGGGAGGCAGCAGUGGGGAAUCUUAGACAAUGGGGGAAACCCUGAUCUAGCCAUGCCGCGUGAGUGAUGAAGGCCUUAGGGGUUGUAAAGCUCUUUCAGAUGGGAAGAUAAUGACGGUACCAUCAGAAGAAGCCCCGGCUAACUCCGUGCCAGCAGCCGCGGUAAGUCACAUGUG
rnacentral:rRNA from 1 species